GAUGAACGCUGGCGGCGUGCCUAAUACAUGCAAGUCGAGCGAACAGACGAGGAGCUUGCUCCUCUGACGUUAGCGGCGGACGGGUGAGUAACACGUGGAUAACCUACCUAUAAGACUGGGAUAACUUCGGGAAACCGGAGCUAAUACCGGAUAAUAUAUUGAACCGCAUGGUUCAAUAGUGAAAGACGGUUUUGCUGUCACUUAUAGAUGGAUCCGCGCCGCAUUAGCUAGUUGGUAAGGUAACGGCUUACCAAGGCGACGAUGCGUAGCCGACCUGAGAGGGUGAUCGGCCACACUGGAACUGAGACACGGUCCAGACGCCUACGGGAGGCAGCAGUAGGGAAUCUGCCGCAAGGGGCGAAAGCCUGACGGAGCAACGCCGCGGGAGUGAUGAAGGUCUUCGGAUCGUAAAACUCUGUUAUUAGGGAAGAACAAAUGUGUAAGUAACUAUGCACGUCUUGACGGUACCUAAGCAGAAAGCCACGGCUAACUACGU
rnacentral:rRNA from 1 species